rnacentral:rRNA from 1 species
UAGUCUCGCACAGAUGCAUAUCAAUAAGCGGAGGAAAAGUAAACUAACAAGGAUUCCCCUAGUAACGGCGAGUGAAGCGGGAAGAGCUCAAAUUUGAAAUCUUAAAGGGUUUCCCUUUACGAAUUGUAGUUUAAAGAAGUGUUUUCUGUUGAGGUUUUGGUAAAAGUUCUUUGGAAUAGGACAUCAUAGAGGGUGAGAAUCCCGUAUUUGACCUUUACUUUCAACUUUGUGAUACACUUUCAAAGAGUCGGAUUGUUUGGGAAUGCAGUCCAAAAUGGGUGGUAAAUUUCAUCUAAAGCUAAAUAUUGGCGAGAGACCGAUAGCGAACAAGUACCGUGAGGGAAAGAUGAAAAGAACUUUGAAAAGAGAGUUAAACAGUACGUGAAAUUGUCAAAAGGGAAGCGUUUGACACCAGUGUUGUUUUUCUGAAAAUCAAUUAAAGAACUGUUUAUGCUAAGCUGUUUAGACUUUAUCAGCUAACUGUUUAGUUUUGAGCUUUUCUUUAAUGCACUUUUCAGCUAACAAGUCAACAUCAAUUUCUUUUGCUGUAAAAAAGCUUGAGGAAGGUGGCUUGAGAUUCGUCUUAAGUGUUUAUAGCCUCUUGCCUAUGCAGUCGGAGAGAUUGAGGUCUGCAGCGUAGAUCCUUCGGGGCUAAAUGCAUUUGUGCUAAGUUAUAGCAUUUUAUAGACAACUUGUUGACUAUGAUUUGUCUUGUAGCUUACUCGCUUAUGUUAUUUUACCUACGCUUAGGAUGUUGAAGACUCUACAGAGAUA